GGGCAAAUGGCGAAAUAGGUAAACGUAUCAAACUCAAAAUUUGACGACUUCAAGUCAUGUGGGUUCGAUUCCCACUUUGCCCA
rnacentral:tRNA from 1 species